AACUAAGAAGUCCAAUAAAAAUUAGAAUUUUUUGUACUAACAGAAUCCCUCAAUUUUAUAAUCUAAAAAAAAUAAAAAAAAUUUUCAUGCAUCAAUAGAGAUCGAGCACAAAGAAAAACCAUCAUACAUCCUCUUUAUUUUUUAUCAAGUGAUAUGCAUUUAUCAUCUUUUCGAUGCAUAUUAUAAGCUUUUUUAAUAUAUAAAUACCUCUUAGUAACCCAAUAUAUACUUUUAAGUAAAUUGAUACAUAUUGUUUAGAUUAUGAAGUUUACUAGUACAUAGUACAUGGCUAGUCGACACACACCUAGCAAUAUAGUCAUCUAACAUCCUAAUAUAUACUUUUAGGUAAAUCAAUACACAGUUUGAAAUAUGAUGCUCAACCAUGCACACUAAAUGACCAAGUGAUACAUGCUUAUCGAUUUUCUAAUACAUACUGUAAGCUUUUCUGAUAUACAUCUAGCAGUAAUUCAAUAUAUAUCUUUAAGUAUAUUAAUUCAUAAUUUUCAGAAUAUGGUAUUCAUGAAUACACACUAUACGUUAGGUGAUACAUAUCUAGCAAAAUAGUUAUCCAAUAUUCUAACACAUACUUUUAGUU
rnacentral:lncRNA from 1 species